rnacentral:rRNA from 1 species
CGGGAGGCAGCAGUGGGGAAUCUUGCACAAUGGAGGAAACUCUGAUGCAGCGAUGCCGCGUGAGUGAAGAAGGCCCUUGGGUUGUAAAGCUCUUUCGUCGGGGAAGAAAAUGACUGUACCCGAACAAGAAGGUCCGGCUAACUUCGUGCCAGCAGCCGCGGUAAUACGAAGGGACCUAGCGUAGUUCGGAAUUACUGGGCUUAAAGAGUUCGUAGGUGGUUGAAAAAGUUGGUGGUGAAAUCCCAGAGCUUAACUCUGGAACUGCCAUCAAAACUUUUCAGCUAGAGUAUGAUAGAGGAAAGCAGAAUUUCUAGUGUAGAGGUGAAAUUCGUAGAUAUUAGAAAGAAUACCAAUUGCGAAGGCAGCUUUCUGGAUCAUUACUGACACUGAGGAACGAAAGCAUGGGUAGCGAAGAGGAUUAGAUACCCUCGUAGUCCUUGCCGUAAACGAUGUGUGUUAGACGUUGGAAAUUUAUUUUCAGUGUCGCAGCGAAAGCGAUAAACACACCGCCUGGGGAGUACGACCGCAAGGUUAAAACUCAAAUGAAUUGACGG